AGCUCUGGGAGAGGAGCCCCAGCCCCGGCAUUCCCAGGUGUCCCCACUCAGUGAUCAGGACUGAACACAGAGACUCACCAUGGAGACUGGGCUCAGCUGGCUUUUCCUUGUUGCUCUGUUACAAGGUGUCCAGUGUGAGGUGCAGCUGGUGGAGUCUGGGGGAGGCCUGGUCCAGCCUGGGGGGUCCCUGACACUCUCCUGUGCAGUGUCUGGAUUCACUGUGAGCAGCUACGGGAUGAACUGGGUCCGCCAGGCUCCAGGGAAGGGGCUGGAGUGGGUCUCGUACAUUUACAGUGAUGGUGGUAGCACAAACUACGCAGACGCCGUGAAGGGCCGGUUCACCACCUCUACAGACAAGAGCAAGAACACGCUGUCUCUGCAAAUGAACAGUCUGAGAGCCGAGGACACGGCCGUGUACUACUGUGCGAGAGACACAGUGAGGGGACCUCAGUGUGAGCCCAGACACAAACCUCCUACGGGGGCGCGCGGGGCCACCAGGGGGCAGACAGGACACAAGAAACAGAGUCAGCCCAGGGCAGGUGCAGGUGGAGGUUAA